UCGGGGUGGGGACAGCGGCGGACGGGUGAGUAACGCGUGGGAAUUUACCCUGGAGUGGGGGAUAACAGCUGGAAACGGCUGCUAAUACCGCAUACGCCCUUCGGGGGAAAGAUUUAUCGCUAUUUGAGGGUCCUGCGUUCGAUUAGCUUGUUGGCGGGGUAACGGCCCACCAAGGCGACGAUCGAUAGCUGGUCUGAGAGGAUGAUCAGCCACACUGGGACUGAGACACGGCCCAGACUCC
rnacentral:rRNA from 1 species